rnacentral:lncRNA from 1 species
GAAUGGGACCUCAUUUGGACAAAAGGGUCUUUGCAGAUGUAAUUAAGGACCUCAAGAUGAGAUCCUCCUGGACUAAUCAGGUAGGCCCGAGACCCCAUGACACAGACAGAGACACACGGAGAGUUCCAUGUGACAGUGGAGGCAGGGACUGGAGUGAUGUAUCUGUGCCCAAGGAACACCAAGGAUUGCCAGCAGCUCCCAGGAGGAGAUGGGAUGGAGCCGACGCUCUCCAGAGCCUUCAGAAGGAACCAACUCUGAUACUGGAUUUCCGUCCUGCAGAACUGGGAGAAAAUGCAUUUCUGUUUGAAGUUACCAAGUUUGUGGUCAUUUGUGAGAGCAGCCCCAGGAGAUGAAUAUAGGCAGGCUCCAUGCCAGGCCAGGGGGGCAAGAGGCUGGGGGCUCUGUGCUCCUGCAGGGCUCAUUCAGGCUCACUCUGAGCAUUCAGCACAGUGUUUGGGGCACCUGGUGACCCUGGGUGUGAGGAGACGUGGUCUGUGCCUUCUGGCCCAUCGCAUGAUUUGCUUUGGGUGCUGAUAUCAACCACAGGCAAUUUAAUUCUAGACUGGAAUGGAGCUGGGAAGGGCACACCUUCCCGGCAAAAGCAAUUUCGUCUAAAGUCUGCACCUCGGUGGCUGAGCAUGGCGGGCCGGGAUGUUUUCACACUGCCACUCUAGAAAGAGCGGAAAUACAGACGCUUUCCUCCUUCAUAAUUUUUGGUUGCUUUGACUUUUGGUGUGUCCGGGAGGCUAUAACUCAAAUAACCGUUCCCCACCUUUGGUUAGAUCCUAGAGUCUCUGGUACAUUGUCCGUCAAUGGUGCUGCUUGGAGGCUUCCCAAAGGCUGCCAUUUUGGUAGGCUCAUUGAGAGAUACAGAAGAAAUAGGAGCAAAAGGCUCCACCGUAGAGAUACAAGCAGCUUCUACCUUCAAAUUACUGUGGUUUUUAUUUGACCUGUCGGAAGUUCUGGGGUUUCUAUAAAGGAUAAAAACUCUCUUUGGGCAGGCACAAUUUAGAUCUGAAAAGUCCUGACUCCGGCCCCUUCAGUUUAUGGCCUGAGGAGUCUGAGGAGCUUGAGGACCUGAGGGCAGCCAGUGGCUGGAACACACGGGCUCUUUAGCUGAGGAGGGACUUGAACCCAGGUGUUCCGACGCGAGGACUCUCUCCCACCACAUACAGCACAGCACUGCUUGCGUUGUUUGGUUUUGUAUUGCUUUGGAAUUAGUCCAACUAUCAUCAUUGAUGUGAAUAAACAGACAUAUAUCUUUUCAGUUUGGACAACUACAAUCAUAAACGAAUAUUUAUUAGUGUGAAGACACCCCCAGGUCCUGGAACACUCAACACAUGUAGAGCCAGAUGUAUUCAUGAGUCCAUGCAGCAGGAAGUGGGGCCAUCACAGGGUACAAAGCGAGGACAAGUGCAGUGUCGUGAGCACGUACAGAGGGAAGUUGACAGUGGGGAGAGGCUUUGCUGAGGAAGUGGCAUUUGGAAGAACGAGAGUGAGAUGGGGUUUUGCCAUGUUACCCAGGCUGGUCACGAACUCCUGCGCUCAAGCGAUCUGCCUGCCUCAGCCUCCCAAAGUGCUGGGAUUGCAGGCAUGAGCCACCGCGCCCAGCCAGAAAGUCACUGCUUUUAUAGACCACCACUUAAAUGCACCUGGCAGCUUAAUGUACAAGAGAACUUUCCUGCAGCUCCUUUAAAUUUAACAAUCUUUUGGCAAAUUUAACAAUCUUUUGGCAAAAUGAAUAAUACAAGCAUGUUUCUUCUUCAUAUGCUUUGUUUUAGGAACAUUAAAAAAUAUAGUUACUAAAAUCAGAAAGCAGUUAUAUUUGUAUGUUUUGUAACAAAUACUGUGGCCUGAUAGAAUGAGCUUCUGACAAAGGCAUGUGCUUUCCAAGUGGCCCAAGUUCAAAAGUUGUCCGCAGAGUUGUCUCACUGGCUCAUCCAGCCAAUCAUUCAAAUAUUUAAAGCCCCUACUAAGGGCCAUGUUACUCAUUGUACAUCUUUAAGGAUGGGUGUAACUUACUUAUCUGUUUAUUUUCAAUUUCAGAAUACUUUAUAUUGACUCCUAAAAGUAUCGUGUAGUGUAUGUUUGUUUUGGGAGUUUCAAUACAAUCUCUAAAUUUAUGUAUCUCAAAUGUACAGGGACUCAUCGAAUUAGACAGUGCUAAUCUUCCUAAAACAGUGUCAAAAACAAGGGAAUCAAUCAUGAACACACUAAGCAUGAGCAUCUACUGUCACAAGACAUGGCUGAGUUUAUUUUUUCUUCCUUCUUACUACACUCAUAGAACAGAGCUCUUUUGUUUGAUUAUGACCUGGGCAAAUUUGCUGUAUGAUAAAAAAAAAAUCAUGUACGCAUUUGCUUCUCAUCCAGAUGCCCUUAGGAUAAGAGGUUCAUUUUCAUCUUCUGUUUUCCAAAUGAAGCUUUAAAUCUAAUUAGAUCUUGAAAGAAAAUAACUGCAAUAGGAUUUCUGUAAGUAAAGGGCCCUCAUUUAAAUAAUGCUUUUAUUUGUUUAUGCGAUUUACAGUAAGUGAUGAAACUCUUCGUGGCCAGCACACCGCUCACUUCGGGGAUCCUUUGCACAGAGCACUUUGAGUUAGUUAUAAACCAUUCUAGACACAGAAGCAUUUAAUUGUUAGAACAUUUCAUAGUGUAACAGCAUUUCUCAGUGCCUAGCAUGGGCCUUCUCCAUAGCGAAGGCCCAAUAAAUAUUUGUAGAAUAAAUGAAUUCACACCC